CAAAUACUCGCUCCGUCCGGAAAUACUUGUCAUCAAAAUGGAUAAAAGGAAAUGUAUCUAGACGUAUUUUAGUUUUAGAUACAUCUCUUUUUAUCCAUUUUGAUGACAAGUAUUUUCGGACGGAGGGAGUAGAAA
rnacentral:pre_miRNA from 1 species